GUGGGGAAUUUUGGACAAUGGGCGCAAGCCUGAUCCAGCCAUUCCGCGUGCAGGAUGAAGGCCUUCGGGUUGUAAACUGCUUUUGUACGGAACGAAAAGCCUCUGGUUAAUACCCGGGGGUCAUGACGGUACCGUAAGAAUAAGCACCGGCUAACUACGUGCCAGCAGCCGCGGUAAUACGUAGGGUGCGAGCGUUAAUCGGAAUUACUGGGCGUAAAGCGUGCGCAGGCGGGGAUGUAAGACAGUUGUGAAAUCCCCGGGCUCAACCUGGGAAUUGCGCUUGUGACUGCAAGGCUGGAGUGCGGCAGAGGGGGAUGGAAUUCCGCGUGUAGCAGUGAAAUGCGUAGAUAUGCGGAGGAACACCGAUGGCGAAGGCAAUCCCCUGGGCCUGCACUGACGCUCAUGCACGAAAGCGUGGGGAGCAAACAGGAUUAGAAACCCUAGUAGUCC
rnacentral:rRNA from 1 species